GGCAGAGUGCCGGAGUGGUUAACGGGAAGGACUUGAAGCGGAAACUGUUUUUACGACGUGUUUCCAGAUUAGAUAUCCUUUGGCCUUGGCCUCGCAGGUUCGAAUCCUGUCUCUGUCG